GCCCCCCGCCCUCCCCCCGCGGAGGGUGACGGACGGGAGCUGCCUCACCGCAGCCUCCGCCGCCGCCUCAGCCGCUGCCGCUUCGCCGCCGGCAGCUCCGGCACCGCCGCGUCCCCGCCGCCCCACCUCUCCACCCUUUCCCCCCCUCCCCUCUCCCCGCUGUCCUCCGCGGCCGGCCCCGUCUCGUCGCCCCGGCUCCUUUUUCUCAGCGGACGCCCGGGCUCGGCCAUGGCGGACUUUGACGAGAUCUACGAGGAAGAGGAGGACGAGGAACGGGCGCUGGAAGAGCAGCUCCUGAAGUACUCUCCCGACCCGGUGGUGGUUCGCGGCUCCGGCCAUGUCACCGUGUUUGGACUAAGCAACAAAUUUGAAGCAGAAUUUCCUUCCUCUUUAACCGGAAAGGUUGCACCUGAAGAAUUCAAAGCCAGCAUUAGCAGAGUUAACAGUUGUCUUAAGAAGAACCUUCCAGUUAACGUACGAUGGCUACUAUGUGGAUGCCUUUGCUGCUGCUGCACUUUAGGUUGUAGUAUGUGGCCAGUUAUCUGCCUCAGUAAAAGAACACGAAGAUCGAUUGAGAAGUUAUUAGAAUGGGAAAACAAUAGGUUAUACCACAAGCUGUGCUUGCAUUGGAGACUAAGCAAAAGGAAAUGUGAAACGAAUAACAUGAUGGAAUAUAUUAUCUGGGAGGUGCAUAGAUCUGGCUGAAAUGAAUAGAAGUAAACACCAGAAUUUGGAUGAUUUCUUUUAUUGCCCUGGGAAGUAGGCAACAGGAGGAGCUGUUAAAGUUGAGCCUGUCAUCCUCAUAGAAUUUUUACCAAAGACACCAAUUUUUCGACCAGAUUAGCAUUUGCUUUAUUUCCAGAGACUUACUUUAAAAGUAUUGUUGUCUUUCCAAUGGUGCCUUGCUUGGUGCUCUCCUGGUGGUAACAUAGCAUUGGUUCUACAGAAUCUUGUGGUGUUUUCAUGCCUUCUUCUUUUGGUUUUUUUUCUUUUCUGGUUGGUUUGUGGGGUUGGUUUUGUUUGUUUGCAUCUGUUGUUUGUUUUGAAACAAAGAGCAUGUUCCAAGUGCUUUUGGUCAGACCCUGCAAAAGUCAUUUCACACCAAUGUUAACUUCUGCUUAAGUUAUUGUUACUUUUACUACUUCUGUUCAUGUUUCUCGUUUAUUUCCAAGUCUUUUCCUGAUGUGUGUGUAUGUGUACAGAUAUAUGACUAUAAAUACACAGCUGAAAAUGGUCUACAA